rnacentral:rRNA from 1 species
AUUGAACGCUGGCGGCAUGCUUUACACAUGCAAGUCGAACGGUAACAGGUCUUCGGAUGCUGACGAGUGGCGAACGGGUGAGUAAUGCAUCGGAACGUGCCCAGUCGUGGGGGAUAACGCAGCGAAAGCUGUGCUAAUACCGCAUACGAUCUAUGGAUGAAAGCGGGGACCGUAAGGCCUCGCGCGAUUGGAGCGGCCGAUGUCAGAUUAGCUAGUUGGUGGGGUAAAGGCCCGCCAAGGCGACGAUCUGUAGCUGGUCUGAGAGGACGACCAGCCACACUGGGACUGAGACACGGCCCAGACUCCUACGGGAGGCAGCAGUGGGGAAUAUUGGACAAUGGGCGAAAGCCUGAUCCAGCAACGCCGCGUGAAUGAUGAAGGCCUUAGGGUUGUAAAGUUCUUUUAGUAGGGAAGAUAAUGACGGUACCUACAGAAUAAGUCCCGGCUAACUUCGCG